AGCUGUGCAGAGCCGGGGGAGGGAAUGCAGAGAGGGAACCUCGUGGAAUGAUGCAGUGCAGAGCAAGGAAGAGGGAAAGCUGUGCUGCAGAUCCCAGAGCUCAGGAGCUUUUCCUAGGUCUUGGGAGCUCUGCAGAAGAACGGAUGUUUCUCCUGGCUCUACCCAUGUGCACAGCUCUGCAAAGUCCCAUUGCAAUGGAACUUCCAUGAAACACUCGUGGUCAUGGCACUGGAAAUGUGGGAUUGUUGAUGUACUUCAGGUCCUUUUCCAAGUGUGGUGGCAGAAAUUCAGCUGGUUUCUCAUAGGGAAAACUCAGAGGCAGCUGUUGGUCAGAGCACGGGCAGUCUGGAGGUUCAUUGAUGAAAAAUUCUUACACCUUCUGAAAGUUCAGGAGCCACUCUGACCUCCAACAUAUGACCCAAACAGAAACCAGGUUCUGAUCCAACCCAGGGCUUGGAGGCUGUACUGAGCUCAUUUUGGAAAGUGAUUUUAGUCUUGGUAGUGUGAGUUGGGUGCUUGCAGUUCCCUUGCUUGAUGGAAAGUCAUUUCUGGUAGAAAAGAGCAAAACCUUGGAGUUUGUAUCCCAAACAUUCUCUCAGUGGUAGAUCCAGCCUCAAGAGCUGAAGUGUGAAGGCAGAACUGAGCUCUCUGGUGCACAGGACAUCAGGCCUGGCUGCAGUGAGAGCAGCCAAGCAAUUGGAUGGCGUGGCAUGAAGACAGUCCAAUAUUCUCCAACUGA